rnacentral:lncRNA from 1 species
UACUUUGCCAACUAGACUCCUACACUUUGUGAAAUAGUUAAAUAGACCUCUCUCUUCAAUUAAACUUACUAAUUAUACAGUCGUUUCAGUAGUACGUCUUGCAUAUAGUUAUUAUAUAAAUCUUCAAAAUACAAAAAUAAUUUGUUUUGAAUAUUCUGACACACAAAGAAAAGGAUCAAAAAUUGAUGUUAUUUUCGUCCGAUUCCUCAAUACUCCUAUUUAGUUAUCAAAAUUAGAAGAAAAAAUAUAUAUUUUUUUGAAAUCUUACAAAAUUAUGUGAACAACACGGGAUCAAAAUAGUUGUAUAAUUUAUAAGUUAGAUUGAGUAAAAUAGUAUACUGAAUAAUUGAAUAAAGUCUAGGAAAACUAAUUACCAAAAUUAAAAGUUUCAGAGUCUGUGUUUGUUAAAGAGUUAAAAUUUAGGGAUUCUCUAUACAUUUUUUUCUCCCCUCUUUUAAAUUAAAAGAAUGAUACUUCUAAGAGAAAUUUUAGGAAUACCCUAUUAUAUUGUUGAUGAGUUGUCGUACAUAUACGAAUGGGUGAGGGCUUAGGGCUUAGAGUUUAAUAAUAGUAUUUGAGGUUUAGUAAUUAAUAAUUAAGCUGUAAAAUGAUAUUGUCACAUCAUCAACAGUAUUGUAGGAUACACUUGGAGGUAUAUGUAGCAGGGGCUACUUUUCUAAAUGGGGCAAUUAUUUAUAAACUCUUGAAAAGUUUUCGACUUUUUGAUUUAUUCCUCUUAGAAGUCUAAUAUUGAAAAUAUCCUUUUUAUGUUCCAACCCAUUUCAAAUAUACCCCUAGAGUUAAAUAAUGAACUAUUAAAAUAGCUGUUAUUUUUAUGAAAUUACUAUUUUGCCUUUUCAAAUAUACCUUCGACUAUCACCAACUUUUUUUAUUUGUUCUUAAGUUAGAGGUACAGAAAGUAUUUUGAUUUUUGGUUUUUUCAAAUAUACUCUUCUACCAUUACCAAUAUUUCUUAUUUGCCCUUAAGUUAAGGGCAAAAGAGGUAUUUUUAAUUUUUUUUUUUAAUUCUAGUAGAUAUUUAACUCACAUUUAACCCAAGUUAACUUAACAUAUGGUAACUGUAGAUGUAUUUUGAAAUAAUGGAGAAACAUAUAAGGAAUAUAUUAGAAAAAAAAAUAUAAAAAAAUAAAAUAUUUUUCAAAUUUUGAGGAAUAUAUAGGUAAAU